UUGUAAACAGUCACGACAAUGGACCUAUUUGUGCUCCUCACCUUCACAACCCAGUGUGCAACCGAAAGGGGACCAACUGAAAAGGGCCACAGGGAUGCAUCUGUCAAGGGUAUCGAAUGGAAAACUCGAGUGGAGGAAGGAUGUGGGAAGGCAGAGCUUUCUAUACUGAAGCCAAAGAUAAAGGGAUGGUCUCUGAGAUGAGACUGACUGAUAACUACUGGACAUUACUGCUAGCCCACCCAAGCAGAGCUGAUGAUCCCUCCUUUCUUCCACAUCCAUAAC